rnacentral:rRNA from 1 species
GACGAACGCUGGCGGCGUGCUUAACACAUGCAAGUCGAACGGUGACGAGGAGCUUGCUCCUCUGAUCAGUGGCGAACGGGUGAGUAACACGUGAGCAACCUGCCCCAGACUCUGGGAUAACAGUUGGAAACAGCUGCUAAUACCGGAUACGAGACGGAGAGGCAUCUCUACCGUCUGGAAAGUUUUUCGGUCUGGGAUGGACUCGCGGCCUAUCAGCUAGUUGGUGAGGUAAUGGCUCACCAAGGCGACGACGGGUAGCCGGCCUGAGAGGGCGACCGGCCACACUGGGACUGAGACACGGCCCAGACUCCUACGGGAGGCAGCAGUGGGGAAUAUUGCACAAUGGGCGAAAGCCUGAUGCAGCGACGCCGCGUGAGGGAUGACGGCCUCGGUUGUAACGUACUUCUACGCACGGAGGAAGACGAAGUAGACGGUACCGUCGCAGAAGAAGACGACCGGACCGUAACUAACGUACGCCGACGACGACGCCGCCGGUAACGUACACGAACG